AGCCUGCGUGAGAUCAGAAUGGGAGGGACGCCAGUGUCCCUGCUGAGUCACCAGGUGUUUUUAUCACUGCGGUCACACAGCAGAGGCUCUGGUGUUUCUGGUGAAUGUAACCCAGUCCAAACCCUCCACGGGGCUCAUGAUGGCCUGAUGAUCACGUCUGUUUGUCUCUGUGUCUGCGGGGACAGCUUUCCUCAGAGGGACUCGUGUGAGGCUUCAUCGAUUGUGAAGUGACAUUUUCACAUUUUGAAAAUAAUCCCAUUAAGAUUCAGAUGGAAAUUACGUUAUUAAUUUGGGGAGAACGGACACAUUACAAAGCUGAACUUCUCUCUCCAGGAGCAAAACAUGUGCAUUCUCUCACGUGCA